CUGGGAAAGCGGGGACAAGAUCGGGUCAAGGAAGUACAGACCAGGCAGGUGACUCCCUCAGCCUACGACACAUGGUGUGCGCCACGCUCAGCAGCCUCCAAGGAUCCCUCGUGUGUGGACGGGAGCUUCCCAGGCUCCUAAAUACAGAAUGCACAAGCUUGAAGCCAGAAGGCCAGGCCCCUCCGAGGAGUCCUUCCAGGACUCCAGUGCUGCUCCCGAUGUCACAUCAGCUACCUAUCUGGAAGACGGUGUGGCGAUCAGCAGCGGCCAGACUGCAGCACAGGCCCAAGAGCGGGGCCCAGAGAAACUCCAUAGCGCAGGGCCGGGCCAGGCCGGGCGAGGACGAGGGGCUCCUCGGGGUCCGGGUUCCCGCGGGCUGUCUCGGCGGCGCAGUCGGCACCGCGCACAGCUCUGGCCCCUCCGCCCCGCGACUCCGCCUUUUGGGCCGGCGCCGCCCGCCACCCCGCCCCGCC